rnacentral:rRNA from 1 species
UUGGAAAGACCCACCACAGAAGGUAAUAGUCCUGUAUGUUAAACGAGAAGACUUUAGAUAUGAUCCAGAGUACCACGGGACACGUGAAACCCUGUGGGAAGCAGGAGGGACCACCCUCCAAGGCUAAAUACUACCUAGUGACCGAUAGCGUAUAGUACCGUGAGGGAAAGGUGAAAAGAACCCCGGGAGGGGAGUGAAAUAGAACCUGAAACCCUGCACUUACAAGCUGUGGAAGCACAUUUCUUGUGUGACCGCGUACUUUUUGUAGAACGGGCCAACGAGUUACGUUAAGUAGCAAGGUUAAGCACUUAAGGUGCGGAGCCGUAGCGAAAGCGAGUUUUAACUGAGCGUUCAGUUACUUGACGUAGACCCGAAACCGGGCGACCUACCCAUGAGCAGGAUGAAGCGAAAGUAAAAUUUCGUGGAGGUCCGAACCCACGAGCGUUGAAAAGCUCGGGGAUGACUUGUGGGUAGCGGUGAAAUUCCAAUCGAGCCCGGAGAUAGCUGGUUCUCCCCGAAAUAGCUUUAGGGCUAGCCUCAAGGUGAGAGAUACGGAGGUAGAGCACUGAAUGUCCUAGGGGGUAUUGCACCUACCGAAGACUAUCAAACUCCGAAUGCCGUCAUCUUAUACUUGGGAGUCAGACUGUGGGUGAUAAGAUUCAUAGUCGAAAGGGCAACAGCCCAGAUCGUCAGCUAAGGUCCCUAAAUGUAAGUUAAGUGGUAAAGGAUGUGGGAUUGCACAGACAACCAGGAUGUUGGCUUAGAAGCAGCCACUCAUUCAAAGAGUGCGUAAUAGCUCACUGGUCGAGUGAUCCUGCGCCGAAGAUUUCCGGGGCUAAAACUUACUACCGAAGCUACGGCAUCAGUAAUGAUGGGUAGGGGAGCUUCCCAUACGGGUUGAAGCAUGACCGUAAGGACAUGUGGACAGUAUGGGAGUGAGAAUGUUGGCAUGAGUAGCGAGAUGUGGGUGAGAAUCCCACAGGCCGUAAACCCAAGGUUUCCAGGGGAAGGUUCGUCCGCCCUGGGUUAGUCGGGACCUAAGCUGAGGCCGAAAGGCGUAGGUGAUGGACAACAGGUUGAUAUUCCUGUACUACCGAUAACCGUUUGAGAGAAGGGAUGACACAGUAGGAUAAGCUAAGCACACUGUUGGUUAUGUGUGCCCAAGCAUUGAGGCAGUCAAAGUAGGCAAAUCCGCUUUGAUAAUGCUGGGAUGUGAUGGGGAGCGAAAUUUAGUAGCGAAGUAGCUGAUUUCACACUGUCAAGAAAAGUCUCUAUCGAGGUUAAAGGUACCCGUACCGCAAACCGACACAGGUGGGUGAGGAGAGUAUCCUAAGGCCAGCGAGAGAACUGUUGUUAAGGAACUCGGCAAAAUGACCCCGUAACUUAGGGAUAAGGGGUGCCACCAUCAGGUGGCCGCAGAGAAUAGGCCCAAGCGACUGUUUACCAAAAACAUAGGUUUCUGCUAAGUCGCAAGACGAUGUAUAGGAGCUGACGCCUGCCCGGUGCUGGAAGGUUAAGGGGAUCUGUUAGAGCAAUCGAAGCAGUGAACUUAAGCCCCAGUAAACGGCGGCCGUAACUAUAACGGUCCUAAGGUAGCGAAAUUCCUUGUCGGGUAAGUUCCGACCCGCACGAAAGGCGUAACGAUUUGGGCACUGUCUCAACAACAGACUCGGUGAAAUUGUAAUUCCGGUGAAGAUGCCGGAUACCUGCGACAGGACGGAAAGACCCCAUGGAGCUUUACUGUAGCUUGACAUUGGGUCUUGGUACUACAUGUACAGGAUAGGUGGGAGGCUUUGAAACCAGGACGCCAGUUUUGGCGGAGCCAUCCUUGGGAUACCACCCUUGUAGUACUGGGACUCUAACCAUAGGCCAUGAAUCUGGUCUUGGGACACUGUCAGG